AUCUUGCGCCGGCAAAAAGGAAGAUGACAGGUGUAACUUCCGGCAUAAUUUAAUUUUGAUGAAAUCGGCAAAUUGAAGAAGAAAUCCGCUAAUUUUGUUUGUAGCGUAAUUGUGAUCAUCUGGACCAGCCAUGUCGGCAUCUGCUGUAUAUUUGCUGGAUUCCAAGGGAAAGGUGCUGAUAUGUCGUAAUUAUAGAGGAGACAUUGACAUGUCAGUUAUUGACAAGUUCAUGUCUCUUUUAAUGGAAAGGGAAGAAGAUAUGAAUACUUCCCCCAUCAUACAGCAUGGCAACACAACCUUUAUUUUCAUCAAGUAUAACAGCUUGUAUUUGGUCGCCACAUCCAAAAAGAAUGCCAAUGUUACCAUGGUCUUCGCCUUCCUUCAUAAGCUAGUACAGGUAUUUAUUGAAUACUUCAAAGAACUUGAAGAGGAAAGCAUCAGAGAUAACUUUGUUCUAAUCUAUGAGCUACUAGAUGAAGUAAUGGAUUUCGGUUUUCCACAGACAACCGAUAGUAAAAUUCUUCAAGAAUUCAUUACCCAAGAGGGUCACAAGAUGGAGGUAGCACCCCGACCCCCACCUGCAGUCACCAAUGCUGUGUCAUGGCGAUCCGAGAAAAUCAAGUACAGGAAAAAUGAGGUGUUCCUUGAUGUCAUUGAAUCUGUAAAUCUACUAGUCAGUGCCAAUGGUAAUGUGCUUCGAAGUGAAAUUGUUGGAGCUGUGAAAAUGAGGGUGUACUUAUCAGGGAUGCCUGAGUUGAGACUGGGUCUCAAUGAUAAAGUGCUGUUUGAGAGCACAGGACGUGGCAAGAGCAAGUCAGUGGAGCUUGAGGAUGUGAAAUUCCACCAAUGUGUCAGACUGUCAAGAUUUGAAAAUGACAGGACAAUUUCCUUCAUUCCACCAGAUGGAGAAUUUGAGUUAAUGUCUUACAGGUUGAACACUCAUGUGAAGCCAUUGAUUUGGGUUGAGUCUGUUAUUGAGAGGCAUGCCCAUAGCCGUGUUGAGUACAUGAUAAAGGUAAGUGUUUAUUUUUUUUAAUUGAUACUCCUCAAUUAUUGUACCUGUUUAUACUUAUUAAUUACCGUAUUUUUGGGAAAUUAGGUCGAUACGGUUUAUUGGGCGAAGGAGGCCGUUUUUAGCCAAACAAUAAAAAAAAGUAUAAAUAGGUCGACUUCGAAGAAUUGGUCGAAAAAUUACCGCUAGUUCUAAUGAAUAAAUAGUUUAAACCAAUAACGUUAUCAUAUAGUAGCAUUUAAUCUUAUUUCACAGUUUUAAAUAAAAGGGAAAUAAAAUGUAUUUCAUGAAAACAUCGUAAGAAAAUGUCUGAAAUUGCGUCAAAAUUUUCAUACCAAUUAUUUCAGUACGGACGGUUUUAAUUUAAGAUCGUUUUUUAUUACUUCCCUGCCAUGGUGUACAAACUGGUGUUAACCGGGGGAUAGUUACCUAGCCUGGAGGCAUGACUACGGUAGCACAUGCCACCCUGUGUCUCUGUGUGACUUUUUACUGUGUAUAUACACACGAGUCAACCUCUGAUCUUAUUGAAGCCUGCAGGCAUGAGUAGCACGUGCCGAGAGUUCAACCGUGUAUAAACAAAGCCAAGAGUCAGUUCAAGAGGAGAUCCACUGCCAACAAUGUUGAGAUCAUCAUUCCAGUUCCUGCAGAUGCAGACUCACCCAAGUUCAAAACAACAGUCGGCAGCUGCAAAUAUGCUCCUGACAUGAAUGCAGUCAUUUGGACCGUCAAAUCAUUCCCUGGAGGCAAGGAGUACUUGAUGAGAGCACACUUUGGCUUACCUAGUGUUAUAGCUGAGGAGAGUGAGGGCAGGCCCCCGAUCCAUGUUAAAUUUGAGAUUCCUUACUUCACUGUAUCUGGCAUACAGGUGAGAUAUCUGAAGAUCAUUGAAAAGAGUGGAUACCAGGCUCUCCCAUGGGUACGCUACAUCACACAGAAUGGAGAUUAUCAACUCAGAACGCAAUAGUGUCAAAAGAAGAACACGGACAAAAAAUGGAACAAAUCUAGAGAUGGCAAUGCAGCCAUUAAUGGCCAUUAAUUCUACUGUAGUGCUGUAAAUAUCAAAAAGAAAAUGUUUUGGUUUGCUUCCAUUAUAAAUGAGAAAAAUACAAACUGAACAUUUUUUCUUAAACAUAUUAACCUUCUUUACCAUUGAUACCAACUUAAAUCAGCCCAUGUAUAAGUUAUUAUAUAAAUACCAGGUUUUAAACAUGUUCCAGAUUAUUUAAAUCCUGGAUUCAUUCGUAUUUAAUGUUUUAAAACCUUCGUAUUUUAAGAUUUUGAGAAGAAUCUUACCUGUAAUUUGUGUUCCAAGAGAUCUUCAUGUAUGCUUCAUUGUAUUUAAGUAUUUAUGGUAAUAUUAUGUCAUAAUUUCUGGUGGAAAAUAAAAAUCUCAGUAAUGUAUU
rnacentral:misc_RNA from 1 species